rnacentral:rRNA from 1 species
GGUGGGAGGCUUUGAAGUGUGGACGCCAGUCUGCAUGGAGCCGACCUUGAAAUACCACCCUUUAAUGUUUGAUGUUCUAACGUGGACCCGUUACCCGGGUUGCGGACAGUGUCUGGUGGGUAGUUUGACUGGGGCGGUCUCCUCCUAAAGAGUAACGGAGGAGCACGAAGGUUGGCUAAUCCUGGUCGGACAUCAGGAGGUUAGUGCAAUGGCAUAAGCCAGCUUGACUGCGAGCGUGACGGCGCGAGCAGGUGCGAAAGCAGGUCAUAGUGAUCCGGUGGUUCUGAAUGGAAGGGCCAUCGCUCAACGGAUAAAAGGUACUCCGGGGAUAACAGGCUGAUACCGCCCAAGAGUUCAUAUCGACGGCGGUGUUUGGCACCUCGAUGUCGGCUCAUCACAUCCUGGGGCUGAAGUAGGUCCCAAGGGUAUGGCUGUUCGCCAUUUAAAGUGGUACGCGAGCUGGGUUUAGAACGUCGUGAGACAGUUCGGUCCCUAUCUGCCGUGGGCGCUGGAGAACUGAGGGGGGCUGCUCCUAGUACGAGAGGACCGGAGUGGACGCAUCACUGGUGUUCGGGUUGUCAUGCCAAUGGCACUGCCCGGUAGCUAAAUGCGGAAGAGA